rnacentral:rRNA from 1 species
AUUGAACGCUGGCGGCAUGCCUUACACAUGCAAGUCGAACGGCAGCACGGGAGCAAUCCUGGUGGCGAGUGGCGAACGGGUGAGUAAUAUAUCGGAACGUGCCCAGUCGUGGGGAUAACGUAGCGAAAGCUACGCUAAUACCGCAUACGAUCUAUGGAUGAAAGCGGGGGAUCGCAAGACCUCGCGCGAUUGGAGCGGCCGAUAUCAGAUUAGGUAGUUGGUGAGGUAAAGGCUCACCAAGCCGACGAUCUGUAGCUGGUCUGAGAGGACGACCAGCCACACUGGGACUGAGACACGGCCCAGACUCCUACGGGAGGCAGCAGUGGGGGAAUUUUGGACAAUGGGCGCAAGCCUGAUCCAGCAAUGCCGCGUGCAGGAUGAAGGCCUCGGUUGGUAA